rnacentral:rRNA from 1 species
GACGAACGCUGGCGGCGUGCUUAACACAUGCAAGUCGAACGGAAAGGCCCUGCUUUUGUGGGGUGCUCGAGUGGCGAACGGGUGAGUAACACGUGAGUAACCUGCCCUUGACUUUGGGAUAACUUCAGGAAACUGGGGCUAAUACCGGAUAGGGGCUCCUGCUGCAUGGUGGGGGUUGGAAAGUUUCGGCGGUUGGGGAUGGACUCGCGGCUUAUCAGCUUGUUGGUGGGGUAGUGGCUUACCAAGGCUUUGACGGGUAGCCGGCCUGAGAGGGUGACCGGCCACAUUGGGACUGAGAUACGGCCCAGACUCCUACGGGAGGCAGCAGUGGGGAAUAUUGCACAAUGGGCGGAAGCCUGAUGCAGCAACGCCGCGUGCGGGAUGACGGCCUUCGGGUUGUAAACCGCUUUCGCCUGUGACGAAGCGUGAGCGACGGUAAUGGGUAAAGAAGCACCGGCUAACUACGUG